UACGGAGGAUCCGAGCGUUAUCCGGAUUUAUUGGGUUUAAAGGGUGCGUAGGCGGCCUAUUAAGUCAGGGGUGAAAUACGGUGGCUCAACCAUCGCAGUGCCUUUGAUACUGAUGGGCUUGAAUCCAUUUGAAGUGGGCGGAAUAAGACAAGUAGCGGUGAAAUGCAUAGAUAUGUCUUAGAACUCCGAUUGCGAAGGCAGCUCACUAAGCUGGUAUUGACGCUGAUGCACGAAAGCGUGGGGAUCGAAC
rnacentral:rRNA from 2 species